rnacentral:rRNA from 1 species
CUUGGUCAUUUAGAGGAAGUAAAAGUCGUAACAAGGUUUCCGUAGGUGAACCUGCGGAAGGAUCAUUAUUGAUUGUGAAUCGUUACCUUCUGUGCUGGCUCCGGCAAGUGCACGUUGGUGACUUUCAUCCAUUCCCAACACCCUUGUGAACCWUUGGCCUCUUGCUAGCCCCGGCUGGCAGAGGAUUUYUAUACACAGACUCGAAUGUAAUGAAAAACCUUUUGUUGUGCGCAAGCACGAAUGUACAACUUUCAACAACGGAUCUCUUGGCUCUCGCAUCGAUGAAGAACGCAGCGAAAUGCGAUAAGUAAUGUGAAUUGCAGAAUUCAGUGAAUCAUCGAAUCUUUGAACGCACCUUGCACCCUUUGGURUUCCGAAGGGUAUGCUCGUUUGAGUGUCAUUGUACUCUCACACUUCUGAUUCCUUUUGGGAUUUGGGAGCGGUGGACUUGGGUGUUGCUGCUUUAGUUGUGGCUCACCUCAAAUAAGUUAGUGCAACUCUUGGUUGGACAUAGUACGGCGUGAUAAGUGUCUUCGCCGGCGCCUCCUUGCAAGGAGGGUGGCCGAUCGGGAGCUCUGUGCUUCAAACCGUCUUCGGACAAUGUUUGACAACUUGACCUCAAAUCGAGUAGGACUACCCGCUGAACUUAAGCAUAUCAAUAAGCGGAGGA